rnacentral:rRNA from 1 species
AGCGGCCGAUAUCUGAUUAGCUAGUUGGUAGGGUAAAAGCCUACCAAGGCAUCGAUCAGUAGCUGGUCUGAGAGGACGACCAGCCACACUGGAACUGAGACACGGUCCAGACUCCUACGGGAGGCAGCAGUGGGGAAUUUUGGACAAUGGGCGAAAGCCUGAUCCAGAAAGGCCGCGUGAGUGAAGAAGGCCUUCGGGUUGUAAAUUUAAGGGGUCAGGGAAGAAACGGUGAAAGCUAAUAUCUUUGCUAAUGAC